rnacentral:lncRNA from 1 species
UCAAGAUUAAUUUAAGAGUGCAAUAUAUACAAAGUAAGAAUAUAUAUAUCUGAGAGCUGCAAAUUAACUGAUCGAUAUGGCUUCAAAGUUGGUUGUAGUUCUAGUUGUUAUUACCGCUCUUGUUUGCUCCGCCACUGCCCGAAACCUCGGAGAAUCUGCCAUUAAUGAUGAGAAGGAUGUGAUAGUUAUUGUGCCAGAUGAGGGAGGUAUUGGGGAAGGAACUGUUGGGGGAAUCGGUUAUGAAGGAAUUGGGCAAGAAAGAACUGAAAGAAUUCCAUGAUAAAGGAAAAGAAAAGUUCUCAACAUAUUAUGUAUAUAUAUAUAUGUACAUUGCUAUAUUGUUUGUAUGAUGUAAUAAAAAAUUAGCAAUGUCUUAAUAAACGUCGUCGAAUCACUUCACUUGUUUGGUCAUAUUUUUGUCUUGUUUCUUCCUUUUCUCUAAUUGUUUGCUCAUAUAUAGUCUGCAUGCUGGAGACAAUAUAU